rnacentral:sRNA from 1 species
GAAGAUGAUGAAAUGGAAGGAAUUUCUCAUAAAAGAAAAGUCAGAAGGAAAACUUUCGUUUCAGAUUUACUUCCGCCCACUGACAAGGAACUGAGAGAGACUAUAGCAUUGCUGACAGCCCAACAGACUGCUCUGGAAAUUAUCGUCAACAUGUGCUGCAAUGAAGGUUUGUUAAUGUUUACAUUUAGACAUUUUCCCCCUGGGCCAAGAGGGAAACUCCCGUGGAGAUUUUCUUAACUAUUCCAGUUCUGCGUGGUUUGCCCGCUUCCUAGAUCCCUCUGAUGACGAAUGGGAAGAGCUUUCUAGCAGUGAUGAAAGUGAUGCAUUUAUGGAGAAUUCUUUCAGUGAGUGCGGGGGACAGCUGUUCUCUCCCCUCUGCCUCUCCCAUGAGGUUCACACGGCUCUCACCAACUACCUCAUCCCAAAGAAGAUUUUUGAGAAAACUGCCUUUCCAAACAGCAUUGCAGUUGACCUAUGUUCUA